UACGUAGGGUGCGAGCGUUGCCCGGAUUUAUUGGGCGUAAAGGGCGCGUAGGCGGUCACGCACGUCCGUUGUGAAAUCGCUCGGCUCAACUGGGCGGGGUCAGCGGAUACGGCGUGGCUGGAGCAAGCUAGGGGGCAAUGGAAUUCCCGGUGUAGUGGUGGAAUGCGUAGAUAUCGGGAGGAACACCAGUGGCGAAGGCGGUUGCCUGGAGCUUUGCUGACGCUGAUGCGCGAAGGCGUGGGGAGCGAACGGG
rnacentral:rRNA from 1 species